AUUUUCGUUUCAUUUAAGUAGUUAUGGUGUAUAACGGGUGAUUUUUUUUAUUAUGAACCAUCAACUUGGCUGAUUGAAAAAUCUUGGAUUUUUUUCGAGUUAAUUUAAUAACUGUUUUUUCUAAUCAUUAUGGAAUCGCUUAAGCAUGCUUUUAAACAAUUUUUAAUUUUUUACCAUUUCUCCAUAUAGGUACCUUAAAUAAGUACGUAAUUUUGAUUUUAAAAUAAGAACUUCCCCCCUUUCUGGACACAGAUUUAAAUAAAGAAUAUUUUUAUAGAUAUUUUAGGUGAUAAGUUUCAAAGCGAGUUC